GCCUACGGGAGGCAGCAGUAAGGAAUAUUGGUCAAUGGACGCAAGUCUGAACCAGCCAUGCCGCGUGCAGGAAGACGGCCUUAUGGGUUGUAAACUGCUUUUGUCAGGGAAUAAACCCCUCGAUGCGUCGGGGGCUGAAGGUACCUGAAGAAUAAGCAUCGGCUAACUCCGUGCCAGCAGCCGCGGUAAUACGGAGGAUGCAAGCGUUAUCCGGAUUCAUUGGGUUUAAAGGGUGCGCAGGCGGGCAUAUAAGUCAGAGGUGAAAUGCUACGGCUCAACCGUGGAACUGCCUUUGAUACUGUAUGUCUUGAGUUUAAUUGAAGUGGGCGGAAUGUAGCAUGUAGCGGUGAAAUGCAUAGAGAUGCUACAGAACACCGAUAGCGAAGGCAGCUCACUAAGUUACAACUGACGCUCAUGCACGAAAGCGUGGGGAUCAAACAGGAUUAGAUACCCCGGUAGUCGG
rnacentral:rRNA from 1 species